UUGCCGGAAGAAGCUUUUUGCUGACUGGUCGCUUGUGUGAUACCAACGCGCUUGCUCUGAAUGUGUUGGCCGCGGGGUCCGGCCAAUCAGCGAGCGAGGCGCCAAAUUUAAACCACACCGAGCGCUCGCUGGGGCGCUGCCGCCGGCCCUCAGCGAGCAUGCGCGCUGCCGCCGGCCCUCAGCGCCUCUCGGGCCGCCCUCCGGGCGCACCGUCCUUUAUGAGGGCUGGAGACAGUCCCUGCAUCUGGCUUCCACCCAGAGCGAGGUAGAGGGGCUCCCGGGAUGCCUACAGACUGAGAGAGUGAGCAGACUGUCUAUGCUGUGUGCCUCUGGAGGUCCAGUUGCCAGCAACUGGGAUUAGGACACAAAUCAGAGCAGCCAGUGGUUCCAGAAAAUGGGAAGACUUCAGCACAUGCAGGGAGGGGCCAGGGCUAGGUGGAAUGCAAGUGUGAGUCAUCUCUAGCGAAGGAGCCAGACGGGCUUUGGAACCCAGGACCAGAUACGGGAGAUAAGGUGCAGCAGGAUGCUUACUGGAGGUAAGCCAGCUUCCUGAGGAAAACGGGGUGGCUGCCCUAGAAGUACCUAUUGGAAGGCCACAUUCCUAGGUCAGCUAGUGGAGAGAUUUCUCUGUUCAUAUGCCUUGAUACCAGGAAAUCUAGCAGCUGGUUACUGGACAGACUGUUUAAGGCCAGGUACUGAAUGAUUUCAUAAUGUCUCUGUGGAUGUGGUAAUGAAUACACUGUACUAGUAGACUUACAAACUGACCUGCUGGAGGGAAGGAAGAGGAUUCAGCCACUCGUACCAUUCAUACAUGAGUGCUGUGUGUUUUCUGUGUUGAUCAGUGCUGCUGGACACAGGCAUUUUUGCCUUCUGGUAAUGCACUCCGAGCCUUGUUACUAGCUGAACUUGGGUGUUGGGAGGUGCAAAGACUAUAACCUGGUACCCCAAUGGCUGUUCUAUGUUUUUAUGUCAGGUGAGUAGCAAUUCUGUGUUGAACUAUGGUGCUAAAUACUGCUCUAUAAAUAACUAUUUGUAUUAGAGGAAAAGGGGUUGGCAGUCAGCCAAUCAGGGCCUUAGUUCUGCAUUAAUAAAAGGAUCUAUUGAUUCCGUGUUAAGACAAAGAUAUGGUGAUCCUCACUCUGCUAACAUGUCCUCUUCCAGGGAGGAAGGCAGAAUAUAAAGGUAUUCAGAAUUAAAAGCUCAUCAGCAGGAACAUUCCCAGUAGCCAUAAUGAAGUAGGGAGUCCACUGCAGAAAUGAUAAGCUGCCUAAGAGGGUAGAAAGCUACAGACAUAACCUAGUUAUAGGAUAUAGGAUAUAACCUAGCUUCACUGCCUGUCAAUAUUGUCAAGGCAAAGCACUGCAGGGGAAAGGGUACCAUGAAUUGUUUUAUUCUUGGAGCACUCUGAGUUUUGAGUAUGGGUUAUAACAUGUCAUUCUAUGUCCAUGGACCAAAAACAGGAUUGAGAAGCCAGGAACGGAAUCUGGUUUACUUAUUUUGCUCACAGAAAUUAAAGCUGCUGUUUUCUCUCUUGGUGAACAGUAAUGACUUUGCUAGAUGUAUAGAGAUUCCGUCUUUCCCACUUUCCCUAAGUGCUGUCAUUUGCUUC